GACGAACGCUGGCGGCGCGCUUAACACAUGCAAGUCGAGCGAGAACCAGGGCUUCGGCCCUGGGGAAAGCGGCGAACGGGUGAGUAACACGUGGGUAAUGUGCCCUCGGUUUCGGGAUAGCCCGGGGAAACCCGGAUUAAUACCGAAUGGCCCUUCGGCUCUUCGGAGCGGAAGGGAAAGGUAGCUUCGGCCUCCGACCGAGGAUGAGCCCGCGGCGGAUUAGCUUGUUGGGGGGGGAACGGCCUACCAAGGCGACGAUCCGUAGCUGGUCUGAGAGAACGAUCAGCCACACUGGGACUGAGACACGGCCCAGACUCCUACGGGAGGCAGCAGUGGGGAAUCUUGCGCAAUGGGCGAAAGGCUGACGCAGCGACGCCGCGUGCGGGAAGAAGGCCUUCGGGUUGUAAACCGCUUUCAGGAGGGACGAAGCCACUCGGGUGAAUAGCCCAGAGGGUGACGGUACCUCCAGAAGAAGUCCCGGCUAACUACGUGCCAGCAGCCGCAGUAA
rnacentral:rRNA from 1 species